CAACCUACCUAUCAGAGGGGAAUAACCCGGCGAAAGUCGGACUAAUACCGCAUAAAACAGGGGCACCGCAUGGUGAUAUUUGUUAAAGAAAUUCGCUGAUAGAUGGGCAUGCGUUCCAUUAGGUAGUUGGUGAGGUAACGGCUCACCAAGCCGACGAUGGAUAGGGGAACUGAGAGGUUGGUCCCCCACACUGGUACUGAGACACGGACCAGACUCCUACGGGAGGCAGCAGUGAGGAAUAUUGGUCAAUGGGCGGGAGCCUGAACCAGCCAAGUCGCGUGAAGGAAGAAGGAUCUAUGGUUCGUAAACUUCUUUUGCAGGGGAAUAAAGUGCAGGACGUGUCCUGUUUUGUAUGUACCCUGAGAAUAAGGAUCGGCUAACUCCGUGCCAGCAGCCGCGGUAAUACGGAGGAUCCGAGCGUUAUCCGGAUUUAUUGGGUUUAAAGGGUGCGUAGGCGGUUUGAUAAGUCAGCGGUGAAAGUUUGCAGCUUAACUGUAAAAAUGCCGUUGAAACUGUCGGACUUGAGUGUAAAUGAGGUAGGCGGAAUGCGUGGUGUAGCGGUGAAAUGCAUAGAUAUCACGAAGAACUCCGAUUG
rnacentral:rRNA from 1 species